CGCACAUCCCAGGGAGAACGCGCCUUCCAGCCUCCAGCGAAGUGGCGCGCGGAUCUGGGCCAGAACUCUCCAGAGCUGCGCCGCAGACGGCGAAAACCAGAGGUGGUUACAGUCAAGUUUAGGGACUGCAGGAGCGAAUUCCCGAAGGCUUGCAGGAGCCGCCCGGCUCUGCCUCCAGCCUUUCUCUCUGGGCCUAGCGGGACUCUCCCAGGCAGGCCCCUCCCUGCCCGCGGGCGCACUUUCCCCGCCUGCAUCUGAGGCGUGGCGCAGCUGGGAGCAAAGCACAGACAUGAAUAAAAGGGACGCAGUUCUCUGUCACUGGUGGAGUUGUCGGUUUCCAAAAACACAAAAAUGAAGUCUCGCUGUUGCCCAGUCUGGAGUGGAGUGGCGCGACCUCGGCUCACUGCAACCUCUAUCUCCAGGAUGCAAGGGAUUCUCGUGUCUCAGCCUCCCAAGUAGCUGGGACUAUAGGCGAGUGCCACCAUGCCCAGCUAAUUUUGGCCAGGCUGGUCUCAAAUUCCUGGCCUCAAGUGAUCCAUCUUCCUCGGCCUCCCAAAGUGCUGGGAUUACAGGCAUGAGCCACCAUGCCCAGCCCCAUCUUUCUAAUUUUAAUCAAUUUAUUUAAAUAAAAUUUUUCAUCACUACCAUAAAU
rnacentral:lncRNA from 10 species